CCUACGGGAGGCUGCAGUAGGGAAUCUUCCGCAAUGGACGAAAGUCUGACGGAGCAACGCCGCGUGAGCGAAGAAGGUCUUCGGAUCGUAAAGCUCUGUUGUUAGGGAAGAACAAGUACGGGAGGAAAUGACCGUACCUUGACGGUACCUAACGAGGAAGCCACGGCUAACUACGUGCCAGCAGCCGCGGUAAUACGUAGGUGGCAAGCGUUGUCCGGAAUUAUUGGGCGUAAAGCGCGCGCAGGCGGUCUUUUAAGUCUGAUGUGAAAUCUUGCGGCUCAACCGCAAGCGGUCAUUGGAAACUGGGCGAGUUGAGUCAACAAUCGAAAAGCCGAAACCCACGUCUGGCGGUGAAAUUCGUAGAGACGCGGAGGAACACCAGUACCGAAGGCAGCUUACAGCACGAUAACUCACCCCGAGGCGCGAAAGCGCGGGGAGCAAACAGGAUUAGAUACACUUCUCGUU
rnacentral:rRNA from 1 species